rnacentral:tRNA from 1 species
UCUAAAUAGUUUAUUUAAAAUUUUAAUUUGUGGAAUUAAAGAUAUACUUUAAAGUAUUUUAGAUAA